AGCAAAUUGUAGAGAUUCAUGAUCUUGGAGAAGCUCCAGCUUCUGAAGUCCUCCCUGCUGUAGAGGAACAGCUGAAGUUAGCUCCACUGAAGAUGAUGAAGCGGAGGAGCCAGACAACAGUAACAGUAAUACAUAUAUGAGAAUUAGCCACAUUUUCUGGAGAUAUGAAUUCGGCCCCAAGCUGCAGGGUGAAGGAGGCUAUGGUUAUGUGCAUGCAGGAAGGCCUCAAGGUGGCUGUGAAAAUUGCUGACAAGACACCAGAUAUGCCAUAUAUUGUAGGUUGUAAGUAGCCUGCGCUUUCUAUAUAAUU